CGGGACGGGUGAGUAAUGUCUGGGAAACGUGCCUGAUGGAGGGGGAUAACUACUGGAAACGGUAGCUAAUACCGCAUAACGUCGCAAGACCAAAGAGGGGGACCUUAGGGCCUCUUGCCAUCGGAUGUGCCCAGAUGGGAUUAGCUAGUAGGUGGGGUAAAGGCUCACCUAGGCGACGAUCCCUAGCUGGUCUGAGAGGAUGACCAGCCACACUGGAACUGAGACACGGUCCAG
rnacentral:rRNA from 1 species